rnacentral:misc_RNA from 1 species
UCCCCGUUCACCGGGGCAGUCCCCUCAGAGUGCCCGGCAUGACCCGGUAGCAACAGAGGGCGAGGGUUGCGCUCGUUGCGGGACUUAACCCAACAUCUCACGACACGAGCUGACGACAGCCAUGCAGCACCUGUGUUCCCGUUCCCUUUCGGGCACAGCCCGCUUUCGAGGGCCUCCAGGACAUGUCAAGGGUAGGUAAGGUUUUUCGCGUUGCAUCGAAUUAAUCCACAUAAUCCACCGCUUGUGCGGGUCCCCGUCAAUUCCCUUGAGUUUUAACCUUGCGGCCGUACUCCCCAGGCGGGAUGCUUAAGGCGUUAGCUGCGGCACCGACAGGCAAGCCUGCCGGCACCUAGCAUCCAUCGUUUACGGCGUGGACUAC